GACAGAGGGGGCAAGCGUUGCUCGGAAUUACUGGGCGUAAAGGGCGCGUAGGCGGGAUGGCAAGUCAGUCGUGAAAUCUCUCGGCUCAACCGAGAAACGUCGGCUGAUACUGCCGUUCUUGAGGGAUGCAGAGGAGACUGGAAUUCCCGGUGUAGCGGUGAAAUGUGUAGAGAUCGGGAGGAACACCGGUGGCGAAGGCGGCCCUCUGGUCCAGUACUGACACUCAAGUGCGAAAGCGUGGGGAGCAAACAGG
rnacentral:rRNA from 1 species